rnacentral:pre_miRNA from 1 species
GGGGGGAGCGCCGGAUCUUGGGCUCUGUCCCUGGCACCCUGGGCACUCGGGCCUGUGCUGUUGGAAUUGCGCUCCCGGUCGCACAGCCCCCU